GUCUCUGCUCUUCGGGGCAGAGCGCAGUUAUUAGACCAAAACCAGCCGUAUUCUUCGGGGUACGCUCUUUUGGUGACUCUGGAUAACCUUCAGCCGAUCGCAUGGCCUCGUGCCGGCGACGUAUCUUUCAAGUGUCUGCCCUAUCAACUUUCGAUGGUACGUGAUAUGCCUACCAUGGUGAUAACGGGUAACGGGGAAUCAGGGUUCGAUUCCGGAGAGGGAGCCUGAGAAAUGGCUACCACAUCCAAGGAUGGCAGCAGGCGCGCAAAUUACCCACUCCUAGCUUGGGGAGGUAGUGACGAAAAAUAACAAUGCGGGACUCUAAGAGGCCCCGUAAUUGGAAUGAGUACACCUUAAAUCGUUUAACGAGUAUCAAUUGGAGGGCAAGUCUGGUGCCAGCAGCCGCGGUAAUUCCAGCUCCAAUAGCGUAUAUUAAAGUUGCUGCAGUUAAAAAGCUCGUAGUUGGAUCUGGGGCUUGAGGUCGCUGUCUAUCGUUUCGGCGAUGACGGUGAUGCUCAGCUCUGCUUGCCGGUGACUGUUGCGGUGUUCUUCACUGAGCGCUGUAGCAGCACGGCACGUUUACUUUGAAAAAAUUAGAGUGCUCAAAGCGUGCUUGUCGCUUGAAUAAUGUUGCAUGGAAUAAUGGAAUAGGACCUCGGUUCUAUUUUGUUGGUUUUCGGAGCUUGAGGUAAUGAUUAAGAGGGACGAACGGGGGCAUUCGUAUUGCGGUGUUAGAGGUGAAAUUCUUGGAUCGCCGCAAGACGGACUACUGCGAAAGCAUUUGCCAAGAACGCUUUCAUUAAUUAAGAACGAAAGUCAGAGGUUCGAAGACGAUCAGACACCGUCCUAGUUCUGACCAUAAACGAUGCCGACCAGCGAUCCGUAGUGGUUGCUUUAUGGACCCUACGGGCAGCCUCCGGGAAACCAAAGUAUUUGGGUUCCGGGGGAAGUAUGGUUGCAAAGCUGAAACUUAAAGGAAUUGACGGAAGGGCACACCAGGAGUGGAGCCUGCGGCUUAAUUUGACCCAACUCGGGAAAACUCACCCGGUCCGGACACCGUAAGGAUUGACAGACUGAUAGCUCUUUCUUGAUUCGGUGGAUGGUGGUGCAUGGCCGUUCUUAGUUGGUGGAGUGAUUUGUCUGGUUAAUUCCGAUAAUGAACGAGACUCUAGCCUGCUAAGUAGUG
rnacentral:rRNA from 1 species